rnacentral:sRNA from 1 species
UAUUCUGCCCCAUGGGGAAGGAUGAGAAGCUUCGACUAAGGUUCGACUCGAGCGCCAGCGAGAGAACGUU